rnacentral:lncRNA from 1 species
CCACACUUUUCCUGGACUUACUCCAAUAGCUUUGAUCUAGAAACUUAAGAAAUUUGCAAAUGUUUUGUAAUAGGAAAGAGAAAGAUAUUUUACAGAAUGUUUAGGAAAUAUUGCCCAAAAUGAUACAAAUAUUGCCCAAAAUGAACUGUUACACCUAAGGUAGAGUGGAUAUAUGCAAUAGUAAAUACACAGCAAAGCUGAACUAUUUGUGGAGAAAGGAAAUUGCCUGCUUACCUUUGGGUAUGGAAAUCAUAUUAUUGUAGUAUUGUUGCUGUCAGCUUCUCAUUCUGAUGGUGUUUGCUGCUUCUCCUAAACUUAAGUGACUGGAGCAAGCUUCACCAGCCACAGGUCAAAGUCUCUGCAGCAUAACCUGGGGAUUUGCAUCCUGGCUUCCAGCGACCC